CUUCCUUUAGGUACACGCACUUUACUUCCCGUCGCUCUCAGCUGACGUGGUUUGUCAAAACAAACUUAAACAAAAUCCGGAACUCUAAAUAACGGCGUAUUUCAACUGUCCUGUUAAGGUCAGAUUUCCUAUGGAUGGAUUCUGUGACUUGAAAAACAACCUCGACUCAACAAACUCUCCAGAUAACGAGCAAAGAAUCUGUGUGGUGGGACAGACUAUUUUGGAUUUUUGGACCGUGGAUUUAUAUAAACUGUUUUCUCAAACUGCAGAUUAUAAUCAUAAUAAAACAAACGAAAAUUUA